UUGAAAGCUACUUUCAGAAGUGUGAGGUUCCCACUAAAAGAAGUGAACUCUGAUGCUGACUUUAAUGAUUCUAGGUUUGAACUGAACACACCUCCCAUGAUGAGAAUGUGGAGUGGCAGGUGGCACUUCUGGAAGACGGGCCAUGUUCCUGCCUGUUUGUCCCUCCUCACCCCUACUCCCAACUAUGACUAUAGCAGUUCUGGCCUGUAAAUAUGUAUGACAAGCAGAGACGUGGCAUCUUUCAGGGCUCUACAGUGAGGAUUUCCACAGCUGGGGACCGAGCAGAGGGAGAGGCAGCUCAUUCAAGGGGAACAACAAGUUAUCUUGACAUAAUGGGCCUGGAAUGUAGAUGUGGGAUCUGUCAAAGGAGCUUCUCUGUUCUCCAUAUUGACAGCUGGUGCUUGCUCCAUGACAUGCUUGCUGCAGAAACAUGACCUGGAACUGAUGUGUUCUGACAGAAACAAGCUGGGGGAUUUUGGGCAUGCUCUGUCUGUCUUUCUGUCUCUCUCUCUGCCUUUUUCUCUCCUCACUGAUGGUGCUGAACUGUUGAAGAGGAAUGGGGUCAUGUAGCUGUCAGAGGAGGGUCCCCAGCCCCACCGUCAUUGCCUUCUUGAAAGCCAUGCUCCUUGGCCUAUUAAAUCCACACGGAGGCUGUUCCUGGAACUCUUGGAAGAAUGUGCUGUUAUCUGAAUGUGGGAUUUUACUGUACGUAGAAUACAACUCUGUUGUGUACUUUCCUGAGACACAGCCUGGGGUGGUUGAAAUCCUCUCUACAUACAUGGUCUUCAAAAAGUCCUUGUUCAGUGGAUGACAUUGUAAAAUAGCUGAAGGCAUGCUAGAAACCAUCUGUAGAUGGCAUUUAA
rnacentral:lncRNA from 1 species